CGGCCCACGGUCGCAGGGGUCACAGCUGUGGCCGGGCUCCCUGGUAGUGAGGGGCCUGGUCGCAGCUGUAACCCCUGCGACCAUGGU
rnacentral:miRNA from 1 species